CAGCCGCCGCGGUAAUACGUAGGGUGCGAGCGUUAAUCGGAUUUACUGGGCGUAAAGCGUGCGCAGGCGGCCCGUUAAGACAGGUGUGAAAUCCCUGGGCUCAACCUAGGAAUUGCGCUUGUGACUGGCGGGCUCGAGUACGGUAGAGGGGGGUGGAAUUCCUGGUGUAGCAGUGAAAUGCGUAGAGAUCAGGAGGAACACCGAUGGCGAAGGCAGCCCCCUGGGCCUGGACUGACGCUCAGUCACGCAAGCGUGGGGAGCAAACAGGAUUAGAUACCCUGGUAGUCGACGCCGAAAACGAUGGGUACUAGCCGUUUGGUGCGCGAUAGCGCUGAGUGGCGAAGCUAACGCGUGAAGUCCCCCGCCUGGGGAGUACGGCCGCAAGGUUGAAACUUAAAGGAAUUGGCGGG
rnacentral:rRNA from 1 species